rnacentral:lncRNA from 1 species
GACACCACAGCCAAUAUAAAACCAGUCAAAUUAGCACUGUACAUGAUGAUCCCAAUAUUAUUUCUAAAGCCUUAUUCUGGAAUUUAAUUCUCAUCUGAAUUUUCCAAGAACAGAAACUUCAACACCCAAAAAGGUUUCCUUUAAUAAUGAUCCCAAUAUUAUUUCUGAAGCCUUAUUCUGGAAUUUAAUUCUCAUCUGAAUUUUCCAAGAACAGAAACUUCAACACCCAAAAAGGUUUCCUUUAAUAUACUCAACAAGAUUACACUAUUAAAGAAAGGCUAAAAUAGCAAGGAAAAAAAGGGUUUCUUGAGUAAAUUGCUGAAAAGGAGUUUGAAAUACUUAAACUUGUACGUUUAAGGAAAUGGGUAUGUGAGGAAAUUGGAGAAAAGGGGGUUUGAGCUAACAGUCUAAGCUCGUUAUGGUUAGUUAUUAAGGAGAAAGAAGACAAUUUAUACGUUUGUUUUUGCUUCUCGUGUAAGGAUGGAGAAGAUUUAAGGGAGGAGAGUGAAUUGUGGUUCCAUCCAAGAAGCAAAAUCUUGUCAUGUUUUGAUUCGUUGAGUUUUGGGUUGAUU